GUUUUUUUAGCCAUCUUGUUUUUUUUUUUUUAAGUUCCAGAUGGGCUGAGCAAAGGAGUUGUUUUAGUUAACUCCUCAGAUGUUUACAUUUUAAAGACAUAGAAAGGUUUACAUCCCCAAGGGACUGAGAAAAGAUGUGUUUUCUCCAAGAAACAAUUUUGGUGUAUAUUUUCCUAUUAAUAGGCAUAUAGGGUAAUUUUUCUUUUAAAUAUUUAUGUUACUUUCAGUGUAAUGAGAUGUUUCUUAAUGUUUCAAGACAGAGAGUGAAUUGGUAUUGAGAAAAGAGGAAUUGCUGAGGAGCAGUUGAGUAUUAUUUCAGAAUGAGUGACUAAGAAGAUGAUGCUGUUUUUAUCACAGAUGAAAAGUUUCAAUUAACUUGUUGAAAAGCUCCAGGAAGAAAUUUAAGCUAAAUUGAAAUGAGGGAAUGAGGUCAGCAAGAUGAUGAAAUAGAAGAUUCCCUACUAUCACUCCUCCAUAAAAAUACAACUAGAAACUGCUUAAAGACAAGCAUACAACCCUGAGUUCACCACAAUUCAAGGGAGAAUUGAAGAAACCCCAGAACUGAGAGAAGCUGUAACAGUUCACAUCCUGGGGGUGGUUUGCAGUUUGGAUUGGAGCAGUACCACAGACAAGGAUCCCUGACUCUAACCUGGAAGUGAUGCUUCCCC
rnacentral:lncRNA from 1 species